rnacentral:rRNA from 1 species
UACGAAGGGGGCUAGCGUUGUUCGGAUUUACUGGGCGUAAAGCGCACGUAGGCGGAUCGUUAAGUCGGGGGUGAAAUCCUGGAGCUCAACUCCAGAACUGCCUUCGAUACUGGCGAUCUUGAGUCCGGAAGAGGUGAGUGGAACUCCUAAGUGUAGAGGUGGAAUUCGUAGAUAUUAGGAAGAACACCAGUGGCGAAGGCGCUCACUGGUCCGGUACUGACGCUGAGGUGCGAA